UAUUGUUGCCUCGGCGGUGCCUGUUUCGGCAGCCCGCCAGAGGACCCAAACCCUAGAUUACAUUAAAGCAUUUUCUGAGUCAAUGAUUAAAUCAAUCAAAACUUUCAACAACGGAUCUCUUGGUUCUGGCAUCGAUGAAGAACGCAGCGAAAUGCGAUAAGUAAUGUGAAUUGCAGAAUUCAGUGAAUCAUCGAAUCUUUGAACGCACAUUGCGCCCGCCAGUAUUCUGGCGGGCAUGCCUGUCCGAGCGUCAUUUCAACCCUCAAGCCCCCGGGCUUGGUGUUGGAGAUCGGCGAGCCCCCCGGGGCGCGCCGUCUCCCAAAUAUAGUGGCGGUCCCGCUGUAGCUUCCUCUGCGUAGUAGCACACCUCGCACUGGGAAACAGCGUGGCCACGCCGUAAAACCCCCCACUUC
rnacentral:rRNA from 1 species